AAAGGGAGACCUAAUUCAGGUAGGAGACGAAAAAAAAGUAGUCGCUACCAAGAAUCAAUCCCAAAAGGUCGGAACGAGGUAUGUGGCUUUCAAACUAGGUUCUGGGUUCAUAAAAGACCUGAAUCAGGAACAAGGGCUAUUAGCUCAGGUGGUUAGAGCGCACCCCUGAUAAGGGUGAGGUCCCUGGUUCGAGUCCAGGAUGGCCCACCUGCACAGGUGGCAAAAACAAGAGAAGCGAGGAAUCAGCACCUUAUCUUACUGACAUAGUAAGAGAGAAUGCUGGCUCUGAGUAAAGAGUCCAGAGGAACCUUGAAAACUGCAUAGAGCUAGGUGAAAAAGCCAAAAAAGAAGACCGCAAG
rnacentral:tRNA from 1 species